CACUAACACAGGUGGUGAAUACUGAUAUAACAGUCACUAACACAGGUCGUGAAUACUGAUUAUAACAGUCACACCUAACACAGGUCGUGAAUACCGAUUAUAACAGUCACACUAACACAGGUCGUGAAUACCGAUUAUAACAGUCACACUAACACAGGUGGUGAAUACUGAUAUAACAGUCACACUAACACAGGUGGUGAAUACUGAU